UUGACAGCAUUGGAAACUGAAGUCCUCUAUUUAUCCACAGAAGGACAGCUGAAUGGGUAACCUUUCCCACAAUACCUCACACUCAACCCUGUGUCUUAAUCCUGACAUGCAGGUACUAUAGCACUUCCAGGGAUAAGAGGGGAUUUCAUACUUACUAGUCCUUGGCCACUCUUAGAGCAAAG
rnacentral:sRNA from 1 species